GUCCCUGGAGCAGUGGGAGCUGCCGCUGGCCCCAGGCACUGUCCUGUGAGGAGCUGCUGAAGGACGCUGAGACUGAGGGGGCUGAGGAGGCGCUGAUGCUGAAGGGACCUUGCAAACCUUGAGCUGUCCUGAAGAGCUUGAGGACAGGCAGACACUGAGAGGAGCCAGCAGGGAGAAGCUGAAGGCCUGGAGCAAGAGCAGUGAGCAGGGAUGUGCUGGGGCCACGCGAGAGCCUGGAUGUCCCAUCUGCUGUCCCUGUCCAGGAGAGCUGCUCUGCAUGGCAGGAAAAGACCGAGGGAGAAGCUUUGAAGAUGGGGCAGCUGGGAUCCCUCUGAUGAUUGCUCUGCUUAGAGAUGGAUGGCCUUGCACAUAGACAGGGAUAUUUACUUGAAUAUUUACCUAUGUGUGUUGUUGUUUGUAUAGGAAUGUUUCUGUACGUCUGUCGUUAUAUCUAUGGAUGUAUGGUAUGUCUAUAUAUGUACAUAUAUAUUUGUAAUUACAUCUAUGGUCAUAUAUGUAGCUAAGUAUACAAGUUUGGUGUUAGAACUCUCUUUAGUUCUAUUUCCUGUGUAUAGAGUUGUAUAGGUACCAAUUUCUAUUGAUGUGGUUGUAGGUCUAUGGCUGUUUAAAUAGGUUUAUUGGUAUUUAUAUAGAAAGAUACAUGUAUUUUUAUAUGUACGUUUAUCUAUUUCUAAAUAGAAUUCUUUUGACAUGUGUAUCCAGAUGGAUAGGUGUAUAUUUGUACCAAUGCAGUUGUAUGGAUAUUUAGAUUGGGACAGUAACAUUUGUAUAUUUUCA